rnacentral:rRNA from 1 species
UACGAAGGGGGCUAGCGUUGCUCGGAAUCACUGGGCGUAAAGCGCACGUAGGCGGCUUAUUAAGUCAGAGGUGAAAUCCUGGAGCUCAACUCCAGAACUGCCUUUGAUACUGAGGAUCUUGAGUUCGGGAGAGGUGAGUGGAACUGCGAGUGUAGAGGUGAAAUUCGUAGAUAUUCGCAAGAACACCAGUGGCGAAGGCGGCUCACUGGCCCGAUACUGACGCUGAGGCACGAAAGCGUGGGGAGCAAACAGG